GUCUGACUCCAACGGGGAAGUCCUUCCUGGUGUCUGACCACCAUUCCUCCUGCUGCAACUUCAGCUAAACCUUACAAGUUCUGUCCUCAGCGGAGCAAGACCUCCCCGGCCGUACCAGUAUCCAAGUACCACGCGCCUGGGCGCGUAGAUGGACUCAGUUUCCUCGGUGGGAAGUUGCACUGCCUCUGUGGUGCCCCUCUGUUUAUGGGAGUUCUGCUCCACCGCACCUAGGUCAUCUCACCCAUCCCCCAGCUUCUGAACAGGAUGCCGCCACAUUCUGUCAUUGAUCUCAAAACUAUUUGAGCGCCUACUAUGCCUCCGGUCCGAGUUCCUCGCCUCAACUCCCAGCCCCUCCGGCGGCUCCCUAGGCUUAGAGGAAGGAGCGGGAGAUCCAGGAGUACCGAUCUCCAGUCCAGGGCGCAGGCGCAAGGAAGACCCCUUGUGGCUGUUGUGAGAAGAGCCGGCGAAGAAAGGAGGCCAGAGCCGGGAGAUGACAGUCCCCUGCCCAGCCUCCCUGCUAUCCUGCCUGGGGUAGGGACUUGUUCCCUAGGGGGCCUUCGUGGCUCGCUAUGCCCAGAAAUCCUCCACCCAUUCCCAUACCAUCAAAACCCAACAACUGGGACUUCGGGAAUAGAGUCUUCUCGCCAAAUCACAAGGAAAAAUAAAACACAAACAGUAGCAAGUGAGACUGUGGUUAGACUCCUGGAAGGACUUCUCUCGAAGCGGCUGGGAAGCAGGAGGAUGGAUUGCGAUGAAGGGAUGAAAGAAGACAGGCUUUCCGACCCUCCCCUUCCCUGGCAGUGGGGAGAGCGUUCUCCGAGUUCUCCGAGGAAUCCUCAGCCCCUGCCCUGCGGCUCCUUCCCGCUCACAGCGAAGGAAGCUCUCCCCAGCCGGGGGCUCAGAUUUUCAGGGGAGUCAUGCAGUCCCGAGCAAAGACUAUUCUAACUCAGAACACAUGAGGGUAAACGCUAAGCUGAUUCAUUGCCCAGAGCCCUUCAGAAGUGAAGUUUCAGCCGUCUGUGUCUGGGUGAAGAAGACAUUCUGCCUGGAGGCCGAGGAUGCAGGCCCUCCGUGAGCUUCCACAUUCCCCGCAUCUGUGUCUUGGUGUACACACGCACACGCACGGGUCCCCUGCACAUCAUCUGUUUUUCUAAGCCUUCAUCUCCCAAACGUCCUCGUUUCAUUCCAGUCUCCCAGUUUUUCACACGGACAAGCUUGUGCCGCCUCCUCACUCUCUUCCACCUCCUUUAUCCAAGCUUGCAACUUCGUCCCCAACCACAGCUGACCCGCUCCUUAAUCCAAACCAGAAACUCUCUUUUCUGCUUUGAGUGAAAGAGACAUGGGGAGGGGGGUCAGCAAGAUGGUUUCUACCUGCCCUCUGAUCCCUUAGGCUGAUGAAUGGGGCAAUGGAGAUCUCCAAAGGAGGAAGUUUUUACUCCCAUGCUGAAAGGCAGCAAAAGAUUGAGGCAGAAAUAAGGAUCCAAUUGUUUUAGCUGGACACUAAAGAUGUGGAUUUCUAGUCUUGUUACAAGACUCCAGUCAUCUCAAGGAGGAUUAUAAAAUUCUCAAAAGUGAUUGUCUUGAAUUUUUUUUAACAGAAAAAUACCACAAAGAGAACUGACUCUGUUUCUGUGGGGAUGGCAAGGGUCUCUUUCACAUACAAAAUCAUGAAGAGCACAAUAAAAAUAGAAAUUGCUUUUCA
rnacentral:lncRNA from 1 species